GUUUUCGUGGUGUAGUGGUUUGCACGGUCGCCUCCAACGCGACAGACUCGGGUUCGAUCCCCGACGGAUACU
rnacentral:tRNA from 1 species